UGCCGGCGGCCGGCGGCGCCGCGGCGCCGCCCCGCCGGCCCGGCACGCCCGGCGGCCGCCGCCGUGUCGACGACCACGCCGUCCAGAAGAGCAAGCAGGACAUGCAGAACUGCUUCGGCUUCGAUGACGACGAAGAUGUGGAUCUGCUGGAGAAGAAGGAUAUUUUUUGAGGCAUUUUACUACGUGGUGACUGGUGCCCCCCAUCUAGUGAGCUUUUUUACAAUCUUUGUGGGACCGCCCAGUUCUUAGUUAAUGCGCAAAGGGAAGCCUCGGUUCCAUUCCAUAAGACAUUCUCGACUGAAAUUUGGUGUCUCAGUGUUUUCGUUGCGUACUAGACAGUGGCGAAUAUUGCAUGUCUGCAGUUGGAUUUGUUCGAUUGCGUUCUGGGUAUUUCCUUGGUAAAUCUGGAUGGCCCUGGGGGCGGUGUGAAUGAUGUGAUGGUUGUAUGUGAAUGGUUUUCUUUAUCUUAGAUCUGUUAGCAAUGUGCAACACAGACGCAAAAGUACCUCUAAAAUACUGGGGUUCGCGGAGUGAAGCCAAACAUGAUGCUCAUAAUGCGAUUGCGGUUCCCGCGAAGGAGAGGAACAACACCGACAGACGUCCAUCCAAUUAGUGGCGGAGGCCCAAAACAUCCUCGAGAACUUGUUUUGACCGCUAAUUGGUGGUGCGUCUGCUCCAGCUCCGAAUAACCUGAGCAGCUCAUUUUGUUUUCCCCCAAAGUAAAUGCCAUUUGAACCUGCAUGAGAGGGAAUGCCAAACGCGUGGGGGCCGGCCGAGUUAGAAGACGGCGCGAAUUCGUAGGCUAAGCUGCACACAGAACGGUACGCCAGCACCCAGCUGGCGCGGCCGAACUGUACUCGUUUGGCACCUAUUUGUCGUUCGUGGUGGUACAGGCUGGUUUCUGUGACGGUUUAUGAGUGCCCUACAUUCGGGGGCGGCCGGAGCGAUGCGGCUCUUGUGAAUAAGCGUUCUGGCAUCGCCGUCGCCGCGGCCGCCUGGCUUUGGAUGUAUGUACGCGCGCGAUAAAUAAACGUUGGAAAAUCGCUA